rnacentral:lncRNA from 1 species
ACAAACUUGCCGCAUACACCGCCGUCUCCUACCUCCUCUCCUACCCAACCAGUAAACUACCAUGAAAGCUCUAGGAGAGGCAAGAGAAGAACCAACACUUCUUUUUGGGUUAUCUGCGUCAUCUCUGCCCCGCUGCUCUCCACGUUGACCUCUGCUCGCAGUUGCAGCUUCGCGCCGCCUCCCUGCCAGCCUUUGCUUGCAGCCUCGCGCGGCAUCCAACGCUCCCCACGCUGGCCUUCGCUUGCGUCGCGUGUACCGUUCCCGGGGAAGCGAUGGCGCAGGCGCCCUGGCCAAUUAGUGCUGAGGCAGCGACACCGGCGAACCUGGCUGGUGGCUCGGAAGCGAGGGCGUGGGCGCCCCUGGCGGCCUGGAGGCGCGACCUGCGCAAUUCUCUCUAUGAUUUUAUCGAUUCGAUUCUUCUCUAUUUUUCUCUUCCAUCGAUUUGUAUACGGAUGUAGAAGGGAUUGAUUUUUGGCGCUUGUUGUGGUGGUCGUCAGACCGGUGUUGAUUUUGUGCUCGACAUCUUAUCUAUAUAUGACUAUUGUCCUUUAUUUGGUAUGAAUUUUCAUCGAUUUGGUAUGCGACUCUGUUUUGGAAUUUGGAUUUGGUUUGGUUCGUUGUUGAGUACUGGCGCUUCUCGGAAACAGGCUGGCAAUAGAUACAGACUGAAAUUUUCAUGGCUGGGACACGGACAUAUACAGAUUGAAAUUUUCAUAGCUGGCGGACAGAUUUUGGGCUUUCACGAUUAUAUAUUAGAGAAGAUAGAUUGUAAGGAGGCGGAGGAUGAGCGGGCAGGCGGAGCGGCUUUUGUUGUUUCCACUCCACACGGAAGUACGGAACCGAGGCGGACUUAUUUAUCUCUCAUCCACAACUUUGAACAACAAAACAAUAAAAUUAAUAAUAUUAAAUAUAUCAUUUCUUUAGUUAAUAAACCAAAAUUGGCAUAUAUAUAUAUAUAUAACUUGAUAUGAAUGUCAUAUGACUCAUUGUAUAUAUUUAUUUUACGAGACAAAGCCUAGGUACUCUAUGAUAUAUAUGUUUGCAAUCAAUAUAUAUAUGCAUUAUAUAUAUAGACACGUCUUUUGUAUAUGCCUGUAAAUUACGAGACAAUCUUUUAAGCCUAGUUACUCUACGAUUGGAUAAUAUUUAUAUAGUUUUUUAUAUAGCUUUUAUAUAUAUAGACAAUGGCCGAUCCGAGGGAUCAACAAAUCGAUGAUGAGGCCAUCAUGAUGAAUCUCAUCGCCGGUGGUGACGAACAAAUCAAGGAUGAUGAUGAUCGGAGUCAGUACUUGCGGGUAGAUUACGAGGAGAUCAUGCAGGGAUCCUCCCUACCGCCUAAUGAGCAACAAAUUGUCGAGCAAGCCAAUACUGGCGAGAUAUAUUAGUUAUACAUGUUUAUUAGUGAUUAGGGUUAGGGUUUAGGGUUUAGACUUUAGGGUAUAUUGCAUCUUGUAUUAAUUUCAUCUUUGUGUAUUUAUAUAUGUAGCCCUCUGGAUCGACAUCUACAACUGGGAAGAGCAGACCGGUUCGAGGGCCAUGGAGGCCGUUGGAGGGCCGUCUCGUAUUCUCCGAAUUCCACGAGGCUACAGGCCAACCACUAGGACCGCAUGCAAAGACAUAUGUCGGUUAUUGUGGUUACCUGGUGAGGGAUAGGAUACCGAUCAGUGCUCGAGAAUGGAAGAAGCCAAGUGCUCCUCAUAUCAGUUUUGUCUUCGAUCGUGAUAAAGCCGACAUGUGGACUAACAUCAGACACCAUUUCACGUUCGACACGAACGAUGACGAGCUGAAGGAGAGAAUCUGAGAGUGGACAAUGAAGAAGAUGGCAACACUUUUUUAGGCUUGGAAGAAGAACUUGUACACCAAGUUUGUGAAGAAAAAUGAGACGCCAAAUUUCAGCACCAAGGCGUAUGUCAAGCUAAGGCCCUUUUGGGAUGAAUUCGUGCAGUACAAAACGUCAGAAGAGAGCGAAGCUAUUAUCAGAACGAACAAAGAGAAUGCUGCAAAAAAGAAAUACCACCAUCAUCUGGGAUCAGGUGGCUAUAUGAGUGCCAUUCCAAAGUGGGAGAGAAUGGAACGGGAGAUGAUGGCCAGGGGGGUAGUACCUCAGACAAUACAGAAGAAUUGGGCUGAACGCUGGAAGAAAUGGUUAUACGGUCAUGGGGGAACCGUAGAUCCCAUAACUGGGCUGCUAGAUUGGGGCCUAGAAAUCUCAAGAGCAGCAGAGAGGCUAUUUCAUGCACGAGCAGAGGUUGCAUCUGGUCUACUCAAGCCCAAUAGAGAGAAGGAUGAACUCACGUAUGCCCUUGAACAUCCAGAACACGGCGGGCGUACGAGAGGGUAUAGGGCAGUUUCAUGGUACCAUUCCUUCCCAGCUAAUCGAGGAACUUAUAGAAGCCACCAGAGAAAGAAGGAGGAGGAGGCAGAGCGGAUUCGCAAGUUGGAGGAGUUUGUGCAUAGCUCGCAAGAGCGUGAAAGAAGUCGAGAAGAAUGGAUGUAGGAGGAGAUCAAGAGGCAAGUGCAAGCAGCAAUUAGUUCUAUGACGAGAGGCGGGCUACAUCAUCAUAGCCGGCAGACAUCAACAUUAGCCCCCAGGUCAGUUGAGGAGCAGUCGCCUCCACUGAAGUACCAACCACCCAAGCUGACGCGAAGCUACGGUUCCCCGUGGAUGACCUCACAGAACUUGUUAAUUCAUGUGAGCUGCACAUUCUAGAAGGAAUCGGGACGAAGAAGGUGGCGAUCGGUGUUGUAAAUGCUAUUGACCUGAUGAGAACACCAAGAAUCCAUGGUCAACCGGUACCAGAAGGAUAUGCUCGUGUCUUGUUGCAUAGGGUGGAGAGAGGUUGUGCCAGCGUGCCUCUCGACAUUGAAGGGGGAGAUGGGGAGAAGACUCUAGGUGAGGCAGAGAAGACAUUUGUUGGCAUAAGCGCUUUAUCAUCAUUCCUAGAGUCUCACUGCCGCCACCUCGUCUUACUGAUGAUCAAGAUCCUCAGCGUAGGUGCGUGGAUUCAAAAACAAUAUAUUCGCUAACAUCCUAUAUAUAUGUAUAUAUUGAAUUCUACAACAUAUAGCUUAUAAUUACUCACAACACUCGUGUUUUCUUAGCAGGGACUUCAGUCCAAGUAUUCAUUCCCCAGCGCAUCAUAGUGUUGUGGGCGGCGAAGAUGCUUUGGAGGACGCAACUGCAACCCCAUAUCCUCCACGACGGUCUCCAACACCACCGCAGGCCGCACCGUCCCCACCACCGCCACCGCCUCAAGCUAGUAAGAAGAGGUCCGCCCUAGCACCAAAGGCUUCGGUCCCACAUCCUACAAAGAAGCAAGCUCAGGCUCCCUCUGGUAAAAAAAUGGCCAGUGAAAAGUUGUCUUAUGAGAAGAGUGAUGAGGAGCUAAUUGCAUCAACUGCUUCAGAUGUGAAAGCACACUUUGAAAAAACUAAAAAGGAAAUUGAAGCAAAGCGGAGGAAAGGGUGUUCCAAGGAGAGCUGAGGAAGAGGGUGGAAGAGCACAACCGAAAAAUGCGUGAAGCUCGAAAGCCUCUACCAAAGUCAGACUAUGAACGCCAACUACUAAAAGCUGUAAAAGCUCAACCCGCCAAGAAGAAAGCAGGAAAGGGUGUUCCAUGUUGGGUAUUCUUAACGUCAUUACCAAAAGUAGACUUAGCUUUCUAAUUCUGAUAACGACGCCAAAAAUGUCAAACCUAUCCCUCAUGCCACUUAAGCCAAGUUGUCAUCCCCAGCAUGACAUGAGAGACGCGGUAUUGAAAUAUGCAAUUGCUCUUCUAAAUAAAUAAUAAAUGGGAUCUGCAAGCGCACACGAUGUAACAUUUUAACCGGGAAGUAUUCCAGGUAUCGUUAUUUAUAUUUUUACCACUGGGAAGGGAUUGCUAAACAUCAAUGUUGAUUAUAGAAUGGAAUAUAGAAUUGAGUAUCUAUCAUUGCAUGUAUAAUUGAGAGCAUUUAUCUAUCUCUUUCAUACAGGGAUAAGUGUCACAUAAAAGAUAGAUAAAGUAUGAAUGGUGACAAAGAUAAUUAAUCUGAUCAGCAUAACUUAGCCACAUAUAAAUAUGAUAAGCACCUCAAUAGAUAUUCUAACAAGUCAUUAGCAUGGGAUUAGGAUGAACUACAAGAAUAUUUCCUAAGUUAUUCUUAACUACAAAGUCUAGUAUAUCAUAGUUAGUGCAAUUAUACUUGGCAAUCAUUGCGAGAAAGGACUACGCCCAUGCAUAGUGAUAUUAUCAAGGAAUAUGAGAAACAUAGCAAUCACUCCCCUGUAAUAAUGUUGCUCUGCCAGCCCUAUACACGAGAGGGGGACUAUAUAAGAAUCAAUGGAGCUGUCACUACCACGAACUACCCCGCGAUCUGGCAUAUAGGGUACAAUUGCAGAUAAAUACGGUAUAGGCACCACGCCUACACAAUACUUAUCAUUUACCCACUGUACACAUGGAUAAACGCUAUACGAUCCUAAACAUGUAUAUAAUUCCAAUCUAACUAAGCCAAGCAUAUAACUAUGAUAAACUAAGAACAAUAUAAUUGCGAAUAUAAACAAGUAGAGCAAAGUCAUAAUCAAUAUAUUGAAGUAGAACAAAGUCAUAUUCAUAAUAUUGAAGAACAAAGAUGAACAAUUGAAGAAUAGUAGAGGAAUUACCAAGAAUCCUCUUGACAGAUCCGGAAACCAAUCGAAGAUUGACUCCUUCUAGUUCUAAUCCUAUGUAGCUAUGCUAAACUAGAGAUCUAAUUGAUGUGGUGCCUCUAAGGCUUGAUCAGAGGCUUCUUCUCCCAAGAUGAAUAAUGAAUUAGGGGUCUGAGCUCUCUUCCUCCAGGGGCCAGGGGGUCUGCUUAUAUAAUCCUUCCAAGUAAAUAUGGGCCGUCGGAUCAAACCCACAUUAAUCGCACAGUUUUCCUUGAUCCUUUAGGUCGGUGGAGCAUGAUCCGCGAAGUCGAAGCUGAUUGGCCCCAAGGCCAGGGCGGGCGCCCAAGGGGGAAGGGUGGGCGCCCUGUCCCCGUGCCCGUCCGGUCUCCCGUUCGUUCCCGUGGCUUCUGGACUCUUCUAGAUGUAGGAUAAUUGCGCAGCACGUUAAUAUCUCUAUGUAAACCCGACGUGUGGGCCUUUCUUCCAUAAUUCCUGAUAACCCCCUGCAGAAAUAGACAAACACCAAAACUCGUGGAAUUCUGUCAGAUAAACCCUAAGUCUGGAUGUUGAUUGCAUUUGGAUCCUUUUCUUUGUUUAUUUGAUGAUUAUAUUUGAUAUUUAAAGACCGUCAACAACUCCCCCAAGCUUACCUCUUGCUCGUCCCUGAGCAAGGAUAAUCUCAGUAAUGGAUUAGAAGUUGCUGAAAUGCCUUUAAAAGUUUGAUAAUACACAUGCUUUCAAAUAAGGUCUUAUCUCUGAGUUAGAGUAAACUGUCAAGACUUAAAACUUACUCAUUUUACCUUUCACCAUGGGACUUGUAACCGUCACUUCUGUCUUGAGCAGUUAAAAGAUAGAACGGUCUAGUCAAGCGCCAUGUCUCUUAUUCUUGAUCAGCUAUAGCUCUGGAGUUUUUGCAGAUUUUCAAAUAAAACUCAGAGAUUCCUUGUAUGACUCUCUCAGAUCUCUCUUUUGUGGUAUUUCUGGAUCCUUACCAAGGCAGUGAUGGUAUAUGCCUUCUCUCAAGGUAUAUAGUAUUUGUAGUAUAAGGCAUAGUGACAUUGCCUUCUCUCUCACCCUGCUCUAAUAAGGCUUUAAUAUCUGGCGCUCAUAGGUGGGAGAUAAAGUAUACAUACUUACAAGACAUUUAUUGCAUAGUCAAACCAUGGAUCUAGAGAAACAAGUCAAUAAGUCAAAUCAAGAUGUGCAUGUGUGGCGAAUGAAUGGUGUAUGGUGAUGAUGGUGAUAGUCUAAUUCUACUUUUGCUCUUUUGAGGGGAUAAAUACCUUCCUUGCUCUUUGAAACUUUUUGAGGAGAAUGAGAUGCUCUUCUUUUUCUUUCCUCUCAGGUGGGUAUCUUGUACCCCUAAUUCUACUGUCGGACACUUAUCCAUUUUUACCUCUCGUCUCACUUUUUCUUUUCUUUCGAGGUUCCGGGCACUUGCCCCUUUUUAUUUCCUCGUAUAUUUUUCUUCUUUCUCUUUUUUUAGAGCACUCAUCUCCUGAAAUAAUAAUAUAGCAAGUGGUAGUAACCAAGAUAACUUGAGCAUUUAUUUCACAGGGGAAAAACAGAAAUGUUUUUGGCUAUUCUCUCCCGGAUUAGGAGUAGAAUAUUUUUUGGGUAGUUCUGGAGAUGGAAAUGAGUGGAUAUAUGUGGAUGCGUACUUCCAGAGUAGAAGCAGCAUGUGUGAGUGAACGUGCAAGUGAAUCUUGGUUUUAACCACAUGACAAGCUCCUAAGGGUCUACACAGCUUGACCACACCCAAUGCUCAUAAGCAGUAAAAAGUAAAUGUGUGGCUCAAAGUCUAGCAAGCAUGUAUAUAUGGCUGUGGAAGGAAUUUAAACUCUCAUCAUACAGAAACUCAUCAUGUGAUAUUUUAAAGAGUUUCAAAGAUAAAAUUCUCCAGAAUUCUAGCAUCUCUAGGAACAGAUAAAUAGCAGCUCAACCUUCCCAUAUCAUAUCCGUUAACAACUUAAACUUCAGAUCAAGUUUUCUUCCCACAAGUUCAGAUUUAGAGCAAGCUUUAAAUUAUAACAGUUAUGUCUAAACUAGAGAGAACUUCAAAUUUGAAAAUUAGGCAGAGCAACUAUUCAUCAUAUCCAUGCUAGAGUUUUAUUAAGAUUCAAUUUAGCAUAGCCACUUUAUUUAUUUAUUAAGCACACCAAGCAAAAGACACAUAUAUAUAUAUAUAAGCACAAAAUUUUUAUUUGGUUUUUCAUGGUUAUGUAUAUUUAUAUUUUAAUAUAGUAUAAGUAUAAAUAUAGAUAGAAAUACUUAGCGGGAUAAAUGGGGGUGUCCUCCCCCAAGGUGAAUUUUGACGUAAUUUCUUCUGAUGUAGCUAGCAGGUGGCAGAGGUGUAUUUGAAUGUCGCAGCACCCUCACAGCGAUUAGAAUGUCCUCCGUCUGCUAGUCUUCUUGAUUCUUAAAUUCUGUGGAGCUCAAAUAGAUAACAAAACUUUGUGGAACUGAUUAAGUUAGCAUAAAUAUCUAGCCUUUAUCAUGUUGAGCCUCCUCAAUAAGUGUUACUCUCUAUUUUUAUAUUUUCAUUUUUUUAGAGCAGAAAAAAAUAUUUAUUUUAUUUUUAUGCCACCACAGUGAAUGUACUUAUGGGGUUUAUGCCACUCAUAUACUCACAUGGGGCUUACUAUUUUUAAAAUUUUUAUUUUCUUUUUAGGAUAGUAUGAAUAUGAUUAACUAAGCAAACUAUUUGAAAUAAUUGAAAGGAAAAGAUAACUUCCAAGUUUACCUCUUGGCAAGGCGUUCAAUGUUUUUAAGUCCUCCGAACGGGACUUUCUGUUUUCUCACUUGUCCUAGGAUUCGUUGGAUGGCGUAGUCGGUAGUUCCGGCGGCGCCUCCUCUUCGUGUAUACUUAUCUUUGUUGACGGUCCUUAAGUAUCAAAUUUAACUAUCAAAUAAACAAAGAAAAUGAUCCAAAUAAAAUCAACAUCUAGACUUAGGGUUUUAUCUUACAGAAUUCCACGAGUUUUGGUGUUUGUCUAUUUCUGCAGGGGGUUAUCAGGAAAUAUGGAAGAAAGGCCCACACGUCGGGAUUACAUAGAGAUAUUAACGUGCCGCGCAAUUAUCUUACAUCUAGAAGAGACUCCAGAAGCCACGGGAAGAAAGCGGAGGCCGAACAGGGCCAGAGGCAGGGCACCCGCCCUUUUUCCCUAGGCGCCCGCCCUCUGUUGGAGUCCAAUAGGACUCUGUUUCAUGGGAGAUCUCUACCGACCUAAAGGAUCAAGGAUAACCGUUCAAUCUAUGUCGGUUUGAUCCAAUGGCCCAUAUUCACUUGAAGGGACUAUAAAACCAGACCCCCUGGCCCCUGGAGGAGGGAGCCUCUCAACCCUAAUUCAUUAGUCUUCAAGGGAGAAGAAGCCUCUGAUCAAGAUUAGAGCCACCACAUCAAUUAGACAUCUAGAUUAGCAUAGCUACAUAGGAUUAGAACUAGAAGGAGUCAAUCUUCGAUUGGUGUCCGGAUCUGUCAAGAGGAUUCUUGGUAAUUCUCUAAUUGUGCUUCUAAUUGUUCUCUAAUUAUCUUUGUUCUUCAAUAUUAUGAAUAUGACUUUGUUCUACUUUAAUAUAUUGCUUAUGACUUUGCUCUACUUGUUUAUAUUCAAGAUUAUAUUGAUCUUAGUUUAUCAUAGUUAUAUACUUGGCUUAGUUAGAUUGGAUCUAUAUACAUGCUUAGGAUCGUAUAGCGUUUAUCCAUUGGAUCCAUGGGUAAAUGAUAGAUAUUGUGUAGGCGUGGUGCUUAUACCGUAUUUAUCUGCGAUUGUACCCAAUAUGCCAGAUCGUGGGGUAGUUUGUGAUAGUGACAGCUUCAUUGAUUCUUAUAUAGUCCCCCUCUCGUGUAUUGGGCUGGCAGAGCAAUAUUAUUACAGGGGAGUGAUUGCUAUGUUUCUCAUUUACCUUGCUAAUAUCACUAUGCAUGGGCGUAGUCUUGUCUCGCAAUGAUUGCUAAGUAUGCUUGCACUAACUAUGAUAAUGCUAGACUAUAUAGUUGAGAAUAACUUAGAAAAUAUUCUUGUAGUUCGUUCUAAUUCCAUGCUAAUGACUUUCUAGAGUAUCUAAUUUAGGUGCUUAUCAUAUUUAUUAUGUGGCUGAUUAGAUUAAUUAUCCUUGUCACUAUUCGUUACUUCAUAUAUCCUUUAUGUGACACUUACCCCUGUAUGAAAGAGUUAGAUAAAUGUUCUCAAUUAUACAUGCAAUGAUAGAUACUCAAUUUUAUAUUCUAUUCUGUAAUCAAUAGUGAUGAUUAUUAAUCCCUUCUCCGUGGUAAAAAUAUAAAUAACGAUACCUGGAAUACUUCCCGGUUAAAAUGCUACAUCGGUAUUAAUCUGUGCGCUUGCAGAUCCCAUUCAUUAUUUAUUAAGAAGAGCAAUUGUAUAUUUCAAUACCGCGUCUCUCAUGUCAUGCUGGGGAUGACAACUUGGCUUAAGUGGUAUGAGGGAUAGGUUUGGCAUUUUUGGCACCGUUACAAGAAUUAGAAAACUAAGUCUACUUUUGGUAGUGAUGUUAAGAAUACCCAACAAGCAUUUUUGGCGCUGUUGCCGGGGAAGGUUGAUUACUAAUCAGGAAUGGAAUAAAGGAUUUUGAGUUAUCAUUCGCAUCACUAAUAUGAUUGAGCUUAUCUAUUCUCUCAUACAGUUUUACCCCGAUAUUCUUCUAUUUUAUCUUAUGCAGGGGAAUGUAUGAAUAGAAGACAUCAUCCAGGAAAUUUUGUUGACAAUCCCGAAGCCUUAUUCAAGAAAACUAGAGCCAAGCUCAAGAAGAGAUCAUCAACACUUCAACAAGAAGCUUCAUCCAAUCAAGAAGAUCACCGGAACUUGUCUUCAGAGUUCGAAGCCAUGGCGAAAAAAUCAAUCCGCGAGUUCUUAGGUCCCACUAUGGACAACAUCCGCACUGGACCUGCUGCAGAGAUCGAUGGCAACUUUGAGCUCAAGCCUGGACUUAUCAACAUGGUGCAAUCCAACCAGUUCUGUGGGAAGGCACACGAAGAUGCUAGUUGUUGACGGUCCUUAAGUAUCAAAUUUAAUUAUCAAAUAAACAAAGAAAAGGAUCCAAAUGAAAUCAACAUCUAGACUUAGGGUUUUAUCUGACAGAAUUCCAUGAGUUUUGGUGUUUGUCUAUUUCUGCAGGGGGUUAUCAGGAAAUACGGAAGAAAGGCCCACAUGUCGGGAUUACAUAGAGAUAUCAACGCACCGUGCAAUUUUCUAUCAUCUAGAAGACUCCACAAGCCACGGGAACGAAUGAGGAGGCGAAACGGGGCCAGGCCCAGGGCGCCCGCCCUGAGGACCUGGGCGCUCGCCCCCUGUUGGAUGCAGCUCAGGACUCUCUUCGCUCGGGAUGUUCCACCGACCUAUUGGAUCAAGGAAAACAUAGUACCACCUCGCCUAUCGACCCAAAAACGCAUAGAAGGGGAGGACUAUAUAAGGAGACCCCCCUGGCCCCUGGAGAGGACAUGAAGAAAUUAUCAUAGAGACUGAGGGGUGCCCUCGAAGGAAAACCUCUUCUCUAAUUAAUAUUUCUUUUUAGGCUUAGCAAUCAAUGUAAGGUAGAAAUAGAUCUUCUAGUUUCUACUAGAUUGAGAGAGAUAGAGUGGAGGUGUAGAUUGGAGGAAGCCCGGCCUGUCGGUGUCUACUCCAAGCUUGUACCUGCGGGAUCAAGUUCUCCUAACCCGAAGCUUGCUCCUAGGAUUCUUCAGUAAUUUGACUUCUAAAUUCUAGUAAGUUUCUGUUUUAUUGUUCUUAUGGUUUUUGAGUUUACUUUAAUCUCUUCGCGUAGAGUUUAGAGUAAUCAUUGCUGGCGUAAACGUGGUGUUUAGGCUGGGGUACUCAUAGAUAUUCCCUGACUAGCUGGACCGUGGUAGUAGUGAGGAACGUGACAAUUCCGAGCUACCUUUGUAGAUCACAUCUCGUUAGCAGGAAGGAUAGGGUUUAUAGGUGCGGGUCGAACAUCCUUUGUGUUGUCUAGAUUCCGUUAGCCUCCCCAUUAGAACAGUAGAUCAUCUUUACCAAGGUUAGAAGGAGACUACGGUUGCAGUCUUCUCUAUUUAUCACUCACAUCGAAAGACAUUCUUUGUGCCUAAAGGGAUAGUAGCAAUAGAUUUGGUUAGUCAGAUGCACCCUUUCUCCCAGUGGUACAAAUAUAAAUACGACAACUCUGGAUAACCUCCCGGGUGAAAUGCUCACCGAUAUCCGUGCGCUUGCGGAUCAUUUCCUUAUUGCGUUACCAAAUAUCAACAAGCAUUUUUGGCGCCGUUGUCGGGGAGAAAGACGGUUUGCUGAGAUAACUUUGAGUCUUGCUAUUAUAUUGUAUUAUACUUUUAUACUUUUAUUCUUUUAUCUUUUUAUUUUUAUCUUUAUGGAUAACUCAAAUUCCAUACCUAUUAUUAAAUUCUUUGCACCUUCGGAGACCAGCCAUAGACCAUGGGAGUCAACACGUCCUGCCCCUAAUUAUGAUCUGUGUCCGGAGUUGAUUGCAAUAGGUCAAAACCAACCCUUUUCUAUAGCUGAGGUCCUAUCUUUUAAUCAAGAAGAUAAUGCACUUUUAGCCACACCUAGGGAAUCUGUUAAUCUUUCUAUAAAUUCUGGUUUAGACCUAGCCCUACAAGACCAUGUUUUUCCUAGAUAUUUUCACAUUGGUCUUAAUCAUAUAACCUUUGGUAGAGUCUUUCUUUCUUUAUCUAUUAGUAAAGGAAGGUAUGUCUUCAUUCGUAGACAUCCUUCUUGCACUAGUCUUCAUAGAAAAAUCUUAGAGAUAGAGAAGGAAUCAUCUCCCAUACAAGGAGAGGAAGUUUCAAUAGCCGAUUUCCAAACAUUUCAAUCCCAUAAUUCGGCUAUCCAACCCAUCCUUGAGCUUAAUAAUUUCUACUAUGCUUUUUCUCUUGAACCACCCGAUAAUCCUAUGAAUCUCUCUAGACAUCCCAUGCAUAAGAAGGAGGAUCGAGAAGAGCAACAUCAAUGGCUAGAGGGCAUUAAAAAUCCAUGUGCUAUCACCAUUGAAUGGAUAGAUAAAACAAACUUGAGAGACAAUCCUAGAGGAAUUUUAAGCAUUCAUGAAAAAUCAUCCUUGGAGUUUAAGAAUGAGAGAAACAACAGUGAGCAUGGAAGUUAUUUCAUAAAUACCUCACCCAGUCCUUGCUCAUAUAAAACAUCUCUCCAAUCAAUUUGUCUCUCCAUCCUUACCACAUUUGAGAUCUCCAACCCCCUCUUCCUCUUCAUUUAUAAAAACUUUAAAAGGGCGGUUGUCGAUGCAUAUGUCUAUAAUAAAUAUUGCAGAUCUCGUUGAGUUGAUCUUGAUAUAGGUAGGUGUUGGAGGGGAAACCACUUCACCAACAUAACUUGAUGGUUUCCCAAGGACAAGCUUAGUGUCCUAAAACAAGGACUUAUCAGAUCAUAACAUGAACUUCUAAUUAUUUGCAACAUUGCCUUGUGUAUUGAGCAUAUAAAAAGAAUUGUAGAAAUAUUCCUUUGGGUAUUCUUGUCACUAACCUUUCCAGGAUUGGAGCAAGAAGAUCGGAUGAAUGACAAGCACAGGGUAUGUCCAACCAACCAUCACACAACAUUGAAUUAAAUUCAUCCAAACUUGAAUUUUGUAAAAUUCAAGCUUGGGGGAGUACUUUACAUAAAAACAUCUUUUGCCAUAUUGCUACGUUGGUUGUCCUUACCUUUGAGACAUGCUCAAUUUGUUAAAUACUAAUUACACUACUUCAUCUCCACUUAAGUAGAUCUCUAUAAAUGCUCUCAUGUACCUUUAUUUGCUUUAGUAUAUGUCUAGGUUUGGAAUAGUUUCAUUUAUCUCUUAAUUAAGCAUGGUGCUUAGUUUAGGAAUGAUGAUCUUACUUCCAAGGGAUUUUAAAUUAAGCAUGGUGCUUAGGUUAAAAUGCCCUUCUAAAUCAAAUUAGACAUGGUGUCUAGGUUGAUUUUUAAGCCGAUAGUAUGCUAUAGUAGAUAUGGGAUAUUUUGUUGGACUAACCCCUGCAGGAAAACUUUCAAUAUCAACCCGGGAAGUCCUAAGAUAAACUCGCAUUGGAGAUGAAGAAAGUGACACAUUAAGUUUAACAAUUUGCACAAGAAAGACGUGGUUCAUAAGAGAUGAUUCAUGGAGGGUGUCACAAACACGAUGCACAACCGCUAAGAAAGGAAAGCUUCCACAAGGUGAUACUGUACCGUCACUCUUCAAGUAAGGUAACACCUUAAGGUACUUGACUAUCGCUUUUAUAAGCUUCUCCUUGGUUCUAGCAUUCACAUAAAUAAAGAGACAAACAUGUAUGAUUUAUAACUCCAGAUUAACCAACUCAAUUAAUUCAACAUGUUUAGUCCUUUAAUCUUUGUUCUUAGUACUACCUUCGUGAUCCCACGCUCCUAAACAUAUAAGCUAAAAUGUUGCACAUUCAAUCUUUGGAAGAUAUAAACAAAACAUAAAUAUAGAUAGAUUAUCUUUCCAUUAGGUUGAGCCAUCUGAUCUGACAAAUGUUUCAAAUACUACACUCAUGAUCUUAUUAUCCAUCAACUUUGUCUUGCUCACUAUGCUUAAGGUUAGAGAAGAACAAAUACACUUUUGGUUCUGUUGGUGUUUUCCACCAACAGAGCCCAUGCACUUGAUCUCUGCCUUGUCUCUAUGAACAGGUACACUUCAAGCAAAACAUGGAGGAGUCUUACAACUCCCAGACUCCACCAAGUGAAGGACCUGGAUCUAUGAGCAUAAACACACUAAGCAGGAAAUUGCCAACACCAUACCCGAACUGCUGGGCAAAGAAGAACAUGGGUGACACCGUAUCAAGAGAUGCAGACGUCAAGGUCCACACCUAAUCAAAUGAUGCACCUAAAGGAUGAAGAUGGUGGAAAGUCUUGUCCAGAAGACUUAAAACAUUGGAUCCUUGUCGGAAGAGGUCAACAUCGUCGACUCAAGUCACCUUUCUUGAUCAAGAAGGACGACCCUGGUGUUCCAAGCAUCGAGUGCACAACCAACAGAUACUCUUUUUAGAAAACACUCUACGACACCGGAUCUAACGUCAACAUAAUGGCCGUAGUCACUUAUCAGCUCCUGCAUGGAACCAUGCCCCUACAACCAAUAUAUUUAGCUCCAGAUGAUUUUCAGGUCAUUGACAUGGGAGAAGACGAAUAUGAUCCACCCACCAUCCUUGGAAGACCGUUCCUCAACACUAUCAAAGCAAUCAUUUACAUUGGAACCGGAGAAGUCCACAUGUACUUCCCCUCUGAGAAGGUACGCAACUAUUUUACUGACCAUAACUAUAUAGUUGAAGACUCUAAGCAGGUCAGGACAAGAAGACGACGCAACCGCAACCAGAGGAGGCAAAUCAUCAAGAACGGAUGGGUAGACUACGAAGGAGAAGUGAUAAGGACUGAAGACAUACAGCUUGAACAGAACUGUCCUGAGGAGACCGUAGCACCGAGUCAGAUGUGGAGGGAGAAGAUAGUUAUACACGAAGAGAGGCGCCGCCGGAAUCACCGACUACGCCACCUAGCGAGUCCCAGGACGACUAAGAAAACAGAGAGUCCCGUUCGAGGACAUAAAAAUACCGAACGCCUUGCCAAGAGGUAAACUUGGUAGUUACCCUUUCCUUUCAAUUAUUCAAUUAUAAUUUGCUUAGUUAAUCAGGUUCAUGCUAUCUUGGAAAGAAAAUAAAAAUGUUAACAAAUAGUAAGCCCCAUGUGAGUAUGCUCAUAGCAUAAAACCCAUAAGUACAUUCACUGUGGUGGCAUAAAAAUAAAAUAAAUAAGUUUUCAUCUUACAAUAAAAAUAUAUAUAUAUAUAUAUAAUAAUAAAUAUAUAUAAUAAUAAUAAGUGUAUGAUCCUGCUAAAUAAAUAACAUUUAUUAAGGAAGCUCAACAUGAUGAAGGCUAGAUAUUUAUGCUAACACUUAAUUAGUUCCACAAGCUUUGUUGUCUAUUUGAGCUCCACAGAAUUUAAGAAUCAAGAAGACUAGCAGACGAAGGACAUUCUAAUCGCUGUCAGAAUGCUGCUGACUUUCAAAUACACCUCUGCCACCUGCUAGCUACAUCAAGAGAAAUUACGUCAAAAUUCAGCUUGGGGGAAAGCACCCCCAUUAUUCUCGCUAAGUAUUUCUACCUAUCUUUAUACUUAUAUUAUGUUAGAAUAUUAAAAUACAUAAACUAUGAAAAACCAAAUAAAGAUUUUGUGCUUAUAUAUAUCUUUUGCUUAGUAUGUUUAAUAAAUAAAUAAAGUGGCUAUGCUAAUCUGAAUCUUAAUAAUAAAACUCUAGCAUGGAUAUGAUGAAUAGUUGCUCUGCCUAAUUUGCAAUUUUGAAGUUCCCUCUCAAGUUUAGACAUAACUGUUAUAAUUUAAAGCUUGCUCUAGAUCUAAACUUGUGGGAUGAAAACUUGAUCUGAAGUCUAAGUUGUUAACGGAUACGAUAUGGGAAGGUUGAGCUGCUGUUUAUCUGUUCCUAGAGAUGCUAGAAUUCUGGAGAAUUUUAUCUUUGAAAAUCUUUAAAAUGUUGCAUGAUGAGUUCCUGUAUGAUGAGAUGUUUAAAUUCCUACCACAGCCAUAUAUACAUGCUUGCUAGACUUUGGGCCACACAUUUACUAUUUACUGCUUAUGAGCAUUGAGUGUGGUCAAGCUGUGUAGACCCUUAGGAGCUUGUCAUGUGGUUAAAUCAAGAUUCACUUGCACGUUCACUCAUAUAUGCUACUUCUACUCCGGAAGUACCAUCCACAUAUAUCCAUCCAUUUCCAUCUCCAGAAUCACCCAAAAAAAUAUUCUACUCCUAAUCCGGGAGAGAAUAGUCAAAAACAUUUUCCUAUCCCUGUUAUUCCCUGUGAAAUAAAUGCUCCAAACAUUUUGGUUACUACCACUUGCUAUAUUAUCUCAAGAGAUGAGUGCUCUGAAAAAAAAAAGAGAAAGAAAAGAAAAAAAAUAUAUAAACGAGGAAAUAAAAAGGGGCAAGUGCCCGGAACCUCGAAAGAAAGAAAAAAGUGAGACGAGAGGUAAAAAAUGGACAAGUGUCCGAUAGUAGAAUUAGGGGUACAAGAUACCCACCUGAGAGGAAAGAAAAAGAAGAGCAUCUCAUUCUCCUCAUAAAGUUUCAAAAAGCAAGGAAGGUAUGUAUCCCCUCAAAAGAGCAAAAGUAGAAUUAGACUUCCACCAUUGUUAUUACCAUCAUCACCAUACACCAUUCAUUCGCCACACAUGCACAUCUUGAUUUGGCUUAUUGAUUUGUUUCUCUGGAUCCAUGGUUUGACUAUACAAUAAAUGUCUUGUAAGUAUGUAUACUUUAUCUCUCACCUAUGAGCUCCAGAUAUUAAAGCCUUAUUAGAGUAGGGUGAGAGAGAAGGCAAUGUCACUAUGCCUUAUACCACAAAUACCACAUUUCUUGAGAGAAGGCAUAUACCAUCACUGCCUUGGUAAGGAUCCAGAAAUACCACAAAAGAGAGAUAUGAGAGAGUCAUACAAGGAAUAAGAGACAAAAGAGAGAUAUGAGAGAAGGCAUAUACCAUCUCUGAGUUUUAUUUGAAAAUCUGCAAAAAAAAACCCAGAGCUAUAGCUGAUCAGGAAUAAGAGACAUGGCACUUGGCUAGACUGUUCUAUCUUUUAACCUCUUAAGACAGAAGUGACGGUUACAAGUCCCAUGGUGAAGGUAAAGUAAGUUUUAAGUCUUGACAGUUUACUCUAACUCAGAGAUGAGAUCUUAUUUAAAAAGCAUGUGUACCGUCAAUUUUUAAAGAUAUUGCAACAACUUCUAAUCCAUUGCUGAGUCUAUCCUUGCUCAGGGACGAGCAAGAGGUAAGCUUGGGGGAGCUUGUUGAUGGUCCUUAAGUAUCAAAUUUAAUUAUCAAAUAAACAAAGAAAAGGAUCCAAAUGAAAUCAACAUCUAGACUUAGGGUUUUAUCUGACAGAAUUCCACGAGUUUUGGUGUUUGUCUAUUUCUGCAGGGGGUUAUCAGAAAAUACGGAAGAAAGGCCCACAUGUCGGGAUUACAUAGAGAUAUCAACGCACCGCGCAAUUUUCUAUCAUCUAGAAGACUCUAGAAGCCACGGGAACGAACGAGGAGGCGAAACGGGGCCAGGCCCAGGGCGCCCGCCCUGAGGACCUGGGCGCCCGCCCCCUGUUGGAUGCAGCUCAGGACUCUCUUCGCUCGGGAUGUUCCACCGACCUAUUGGAUCAAGGAAAACAUAGUACCACCUCGCCUAUCAACCCAAAAACGCAUAGAAGGGGAGGACUAUAUAAGGAGACCCCCCUGGCCCCUGGAGAGGACAUGAAGAAAUUAUCAUAGAGACUGAAGGGUGCCCUCGAAGGAAAACCUCUUCUCUAAUUAAUAUUUCUUUUUAGGCUUAGCAAUCAAUGUAAGGUAGAAAUAGAUCUUCUAGUUUCUACUAGAUUGAGAGAGAUAGAGUGGAGGUGUAGAUUGGAGGAAGCCCGGCCUGUCGGUGUCUACUCCAAGCUUGUACCUGCGGGAUCAAGUUCUCCUAACCCGAAGCUUGCUCCUAGGAUUCUUCAGUAAUUUGACUUCUAAAUUCUAGUAAGUUCUUGUUUUAUUGUUCUUAUGGUUUAUGAGUUUACUUUAAUCUCUUCGCGUAGAGUUUAGAGUAAUCAUUGCUGGCGUAAACGUGGUGUUUAGGCUGGGGUACUCAUAGAUAUUCCCUGACUAGCUGGACCGUGGUAGUAGUGAGGAACGUGACAAUUCCGAGCUACCUUUGUAGAUCACAUCUCGUUAGCAGGAAGGAUAGGGAUUAUAGGUGCGUGUCGAACAUCCUUUGUGUUGUCUAGAUUCCGUUAGCCUCCCCAUUAGAACAGUAGAUCAUCCUUACCAAGGUUAGAAGGAGACUACGGUUGCAGUCUUCUCUAUUUAUCACUCACAUCGAAAGACAUUCUUUGUGCCUAAAGGGAUAGUAGCAAUAGAUUUGGUUAGUCAGAUGCACCCUUUCUCCCAGUGGUAAAAAUAUAAAUACGAUAACUCUGGAUAACCUCCCGGAUGAAAUGCUCACCGAUAUCCGUGCGCUUGCGGAUCAUUUCCUUAUUGCGUUACCAAAUAUCAACACUAGUGCUCAUCUCCAACACUUCCUGCCUUGGUAAGGAUCCAGAAAUACCACAAAAGGGAAAUCUGAGAGAAUCAUACAAGGAAUCUCUGAGUUUUAUUUGAAAAUCUGCAAAAACUCCAGAGCUAUAGCUGAUCAAGAAUAAGAGACAUGGCACUUGACUAGACUGUUCUAUCUUUUAACUACUCAAGACAGAAGUGACGGUUACAAGUCCCAUGGUGAAAGAUAAAGUAAGUAAGUUUUAAGUCUUGACAGUUUACUCUAACUCAGAGAUGAGAUCUUAUUUAAAAGCAUGUGUACCGUCAAAUUUUUUUUAAAAAAGUAUUGCAACAACUUCUGAUCCAUUGCUGAGUCUAUCCUUGCUCAGGGACGAGCAAGAGGUAAGCUUGGGGGAGUUUGUUGAUGGUCCUUAAGUAUCAAAUUUAAUUAUCAAAUAAACAAAGAAAAGGAUCCAAAUGAAAUCAACAUCUAGACUUAGGGUUUUAUCUGACAGAAUUCCACAAGUUUUGGUGUUUGUCUAUUUCUGCUGGGGGUUAUGAGGAAAUACGGAAGAAAGGCCCACACGUCGGGAUUACAUAGAGAUAUUAACGUGCCGUACAAUUAUCUUACAUCUAGAAGACUCCAGAAGCCACGGGAAGGAAGCGGAGGCCGAACGGGGCCAGAGGCAGGGCGCCCGCCCUGUUUCCUUGGGCGCCCGCCCUCUGUUGGAGUCCAAUGAGGACUCUGUUUCGUGGGAGAUCUCUACUGACCUAAAGGAUCAAGGAUAACCGUUCAAUCUAUGUCGGUUUGAUCCAAUGGCUCAUAUUCACUUGAAGGGACUAUAAAACCGGACCCCCUGGCCCCUGGAAGAGGGAGCCUCUCAACCCUAAUUCAUUAGUCUUCAAGGGAGGAGAAGCCUCUGAUCAAGAUUAGAGCCACCACAUCAAUUAGACAUCUAGAUUAGCAUAGCUCCGUAGGAUUAGAACUAGAAGGAGUCAAUCUUCGAUUGGUUUCCGGAUCUGUCAAGAGGAUUCUUGGUAAUUCUCUAAUUGUGCUUCUAAUUGUUCUCUAAUUAUCUUUGUUCUUCAAUAUUAUGAAUAUGACUUUGUUCUACUUCAAUAUAAUGCUUAUGACUUGUUCUUCAAUAUCUUGUCUCUUUGUUCUAAUUAUCUUUGUUAUUCAAUAUUAUGAAUAUUCAAGAUUAUAUUGAUCUUAGUUUAUCAUAGUUAUAUACUUGGCUUAGUUAGAUUGGAUCUAUAUACAUGCUUAGGAUCGUAUAGCGUUUAUCCAUUGGAUCCAUAGGUAAAUGAUAGAUAUUGUGUAGGCGUGGUGCUUAUACCGUAUUUAUCUGCGAUUGUACCCAAUAUGCCAGAUCGUGGGGUAGUUCGUGAUAGUGACAGCUUCAUUGAUUCUUAUAUAGUCCCCCUCUCGUGUAUUGGGCUGGCAGAGCAAUAUUAUUAUAGGGGAGUGAUUGCUAUGUUUCUCAUUUACCUUGCUAAUAUCACUAUGCAUGGGCGUAGUCUUGUCUCGCAAUGAUUGCUAAGUAUGCUUGCACUAACUAUGAUAAUGCUAGACUAUAUAGUUGAGAAUAACUUAGGAAAUAUUCUUGUAGUUCGUUCUAAUUCCAUGCUAAUGACUUUCUAGAGUAUCUAAUUGAGGUGCUUAUCAUAUUUAUUAUGUGGCUGAUCAGAUUAAUUAUCCUUGUCACUAUUCGUUACUUCAUAUAUCGUUUAUGUGACACUUACCCCUGUAUGAAAGAGUUAGAUAAAUGUUCUCAAUUAUACAUGCAAUGAUAGAUACUCAAUUUCAUAUUCUAUUCUGUAAUCAAUAGUGAUGAUUGUUAAUCCUUUCCCCGUGGUAAAAAUAUAAAUAACGAUACCUGGAAUACUUUCCGGUUAAAAUGCUACAUCGGUAUUAAUCUGUGCGCUUGCAGAUCCCAUUCAUUAUUUAUUUAGAAGAGCAAUUGCAUAUUUCAAUACCGUGUCUCUCAUGUCAUGCUGGGGAUGACAACUUGGCUUAAGUGGUAUGAGAGAUAGGUUUGACAUUUUUGGCACCGUUACUAGAAUUAGAAACUAAGUCUACUUUUAGUAGUGAUGUUAAGAAUACCCAACAAUCUUCUCUUUCCACACGUGACUCGGUGCUACGGUCUCCUCAGGAUAAUCUUGUUCAAGCUGUAUGUCUUCAGAUCUUACAACUUCUCCUUCGUAGUCUGCCCAUCCGUCCUUGAUGAUUUGCCUCUUCUGGUUGCGAUUGAGUCGUCUUCUUCUUGUCCUGACCUGCUUGGAGUCUUCAGCUAUAUAAUUAGGGUCAGUAAAAUAGCGGCGUACCUUCUCAGAGGGGAAGUGCAUAUGGACUUCUCCGGUUCCAAUGUAGAUGAUUGCUUUAACGGUGCUGAGGAACGAUCUCCCAAGGAUGAUGGGUGGAUCUUACUCAUCUUCUCCCAUGUCAAUAACCUGAAAGUCUGUAUGGAUAAAAUGAUUGUCUAUUUUGACAGGGACAUCAGUUACUAUACCUUCAAUCUUUCGGAAUGUCUGAUCUGCCAUCUGGAGCUGAAUGUAUGUCAGUUUGAGGGGCAUGGUUCCGAACAAGAGCCGAUAGGUGACUGCGGCCAUUAUGUUGACGCCCGAUCCGGUGUCGCAAAGUGUCUUGCAGAAGUUGUACCAUUGAUGGAGCAGUAGAUGCUUGGCAUACCUGGGUCAUCCUUCUUGGUCAGAAACGGUGACUUAAGUCGAUGAUCUUGACCUCGUUGAACUGCAGUGACCAUCUUAGUUGACUCGGUCUACACUUGUUUAUUCCUGUUCCUCCUGUUGGUCCUCUUCCUUGGUUCAUGUCUGGAUUGCUCUGGGAUUUGUGUAGUCUUGUUCUCGAAGGAAAACGUCUCCUUCCUCCCUUUGAUGUAGAAACUGAUCUUGGCAGCACUAGCAUAGAUGACAGCUCCCGAGGUGUUCAGGAAUGGCCUCCCUAAGAUGACGGGUGCCCUCUCAUCAUUACCGGUCUCUAUCACCACGAAGUCUGCUGGAGCGUAUAAGGUACCAACUCGAAUACAGAGGUUCUUCAACAUUCCCUUUGGAAAACUCAACACCUGAUCUACAAACUGCAAACACAUGGUUGUUUCUAAUAAAGGAUAUGUAAAGAAUUUUUCAUAGAGUACCCUGGGCAUAAUGUUGACACUAGAGCCAAAGUCACAGAGUGCUUCUGAGAAGUCCACCAUGCCGAUGGAGAUCGGGAUGACGGGGCAUCCUGGAUCGCCUCUCUUGACCGGCAGAAGGUCAGUAGUUACUUCCGCAACGGGGUUACUCCAGUAGGUACCUGUAUCAAACAUGUCUACAAGAUUUGCAGAUUCUAUUCCUUCCGGUUGUGAUGGUAUACCGGGGUUAGUAGCAGGAACAACAGCAGCUAUUUGAUUUAACUGAGAUUCAAUCAUUUUAUUAAAGCUAAUUUGAUUCUUGAUGGCAGUAGAGAAAUUAUCCAUUCUAUUAUUUAUAUUUUCUAGCAUUUUAUCAUUAGAUGUCAAUUUCUUAGAUAGGUUAUCCAUUAGCUUUCCUUGAUUAGACACUAACUCUCUCAGAGGUGGAAAAUCAUUAUUAUUAUUGUAAGAAUUUUUACCUUGAUAAUUACCUGAGUAGGUAGGCCUCUGUUGAUUCCAACCUUGAUUUUGUUGAGGACGGUUGUAGUAGUUAUUGUUGUUGUUGUUCAUGUAGUUCACAUCUUGAAGCAUCUUAGGGCAGUGAUUGCCUGAGUGUCCAGUAUCUCCACACUCCUCACAAGUCAUGUGAGAGUCGUAGAUGUGCAUAACUCCUUUCUUAUCUCCAGCUCUAUCAUCGAGCUUCUUCAUGAGCAGGUCUAGCUUAGCAGACAACAUGUCUACCUCCUUCAGCUGAUCCAUACCUCCACCUCUCUUGCGUGUCUAGGUCCUCUCUUCAUUCCAGCCUUGGUUGGACGCCAUCUUUUCCACAAGAGCUGUGUCUUGUGGUAUGGUGAGUGAUAGGAAUGCUCCUCCAGCUGCAGCAUCCAUGGUCUCUCGGGCACUGUUGCCGAGCCCAUGAUAAAAUGUCUGCAUCAGUAGCCAGCUCUCCAUUCCAUGAUGGGGACAUUCUAGGAUGUAGUCUUGGAAGCGCUCCCAUGCUUCUGGAAUGGAUUCAUCAUGUUGUUGCUGAAAACUUGUAAUUUUCCCAUGGAGAGCAUUGGUCUUGCCUAUGGGAAAGAACUUAGCCAGAAAGUUCGUGGAGCAGAGUGCCCACGUAGUAUUCUUUUCCUUUGUAGCAUAAAACCACUACUUCGCUCUCCCCAACAGUGAGAAAGGGAAGAGGCGAAGUAGUAUAGCAUCUCUGGGGACUCCUGAUAUGGUGAAUGUGUUGCAAAUCUCUAGGAAGUGUUGGAGAUGAGCACUAGCAUCUUCGUGUGCCUUCCCACAGAACUGGUUGGAUUGCACCAUGUUGAUAAGUCCAGGCUUGAGCUCAAAAUUGCCAUCGAUCUCUGGAGCAGGUCCAGUGCGGAUGUUGUCCGUAGUGGGAGCUGAGAACUCACGGAUCGAUUUGUUCGCCAUGACUUCGAAUUCUGAAGACAAGUUCCGAGUGAAACUUCGGUGAUCUUCUUGAUUGGACGAAGCUUCGUGCUAAAGUGUUGAUGAUCUCUUCUUGAGCUUGGGUCUUGUUUUCUGAAUAAUGCUUCGGGAUUGUCAACAAAAUUUCCUGGAAGAUGUCUUCUAUUCAUACAUUAGCCUGCAUCAGAUAAAAUAGAAAAAUAUCAGGGUAAAACUGUAUGAGAGAAUUGAUAAUCUCAAUCAUAUUAGUGAUGCAAGUGAUGACCCAAAAUUCCAUAUUCAUUCCUAAUUAGUUAUCAACCUUCCCCGGCAACAGCGCCAAAAAUGCUUGUUGUGUAUUUUUAACGUCAUUACCAAAAGUAGACUUAGUUUUCUAAUUCUGAUAACGGCGCCAAAAAUGCCAAACCUAUCCCUCAUGCCACUUAAGCCAAGUUGUCAUCCCCAGCAUCACAUGAGAGACGCGGUAUUGAAAUAUGCAAUUGCUCUUCUAAAUAAAUAAUAAAUAGGAUCUGCAAGCGCACAGAUUAAUACCGAUGUAGCAUUUUAAUCGGGAAGUAUUCCAGGUAUCGUUAUUUAUAUUUUUACCACUGGGAAGGGAUUGCUAAACAUCAAUGUUGAUUAUAGAAUGGAAUAUAGAAUUGAGUAUCAUUGUAUGUAUAAUUGAGAGCAUUUAUCUAUCUCUUUCAUACAGGGAUAAGUGUCACAUAAAAGAUAGAUAAAGUAUGAAUGGUGACAAAGAUAAUUAAUCUGACCUGCAUAACUUAGCCACAUAUAAAUAUGAUAAGCACCUCAAUAGAUAUUCUAACAAGUCAUUAGCAUGGAAUUAGGAUGAACUACAAGAAUAUUUCCUAAGUUAUUCUUAACUACAAAGUCUAGUAUUGGCAAUCAUUGCGAGAAAGGACUACGCCCAUGCAUAGUGAUAUUAUCAAGGAAUAUGAGAAACAUAGCAAUCACUCCCCUGUAAUAAUGUUGCUCUGCCAGCCCUAUACACGAGAGGGAGACUAUAUAAGAAUCAAUAGAGCUGUCACUACAAUGAACUACCCCGCGAUCUGGCAUAUAGGGUACAAUCGUAGAUAAAUACGGUAUAGGCACCACGCCUACACAAUACUUAUCAUUUACCCACUGUACACAUGGAUAAACGCUAUACGAUCCUAAACAUGUAUAUAAUUCCAAUCUAACUAAGCCAAGCAUAUAACUAUGAUAAACUAAGAACAAUAUAAUUACGAAUAUAAACAAGUAGAGCAAAGUCAUAAUCAAUAUAUUGAAGUAGAACAAAGUCAUAUUCAUAAUAUUGAAGAACAAAGAUGAACAAUUGAAGAACAGUAGAGGAAUUACUAAGAAUCCUCUUGACAGAUCCGGAAACCAAUCGAAGAUUGACUCCUUCUAGUUCUAAUCCUAUGUAGCUAUGUUAAACUAGAGAUCUAAUUGAUGUGAUGGCUCUAAGGCUUGAUCAGAGGCUUCUUCUCCCAGGAUAAAUAAUGAAUUAGGGGUCUGAGCUCUCUUCCUCUAGGGGCCAAGGGGUCUGGUUAUAUAGUUCUUCCAAGUGAAUAUUGGCCGUCGGAUCAAACCGACAUUAAUCGCACGGUUUUCCUUGAUCCUUUAGGUCGGUGGAGCAUGAUCCGCGAAGUUGAAGCUGAUUGGCCCCGAGGCCAGGGCGGGCACCCAAGGGGGGAGG